UGGCUCUCGCAUCGAUGAAGAACGCAGCGAAAUGCGAUAAGUAAUGUGAAUUGCAGAAUUCAGUGAAUCAUCGAAUCUUUGAACGCAAAUUGCGCUCUUUGGUAUUCCGAAGAGCAUGCCUGUUUGAGUGUCAUAAAGACUUACCUUUUCAAGUUUUUGAUCAGGUCUUUGGGUGCUGCCAUUGGCUCACCUUAAAUGCAUCAGUGGAUUGGCGUAACAAGUCUUCGCCUUCACCCCACUUUAAAUCUCUUUUUGCUCUGACCUCAAAUCAGGUAGGACUACCCGCUGA
rnacentral:misc_RNA from 1 species